AUUGAACGCUGGCGGCAGGCCUAACACAUGCAAGUCGAACGGUAACAGGAAGCAGCUUGCUGCUUUGCUGACGAGUGGCGGACGGGUGAGUAAUGUCUGGGAAACUGCCUGAUGGAGGGGGAUAACUACUGGAAACGGUAGCUAAUACCGCAUAACGUCGCAAGACCAAAGAGGGGGACCUUCGGGCCUCUUGCCAUCGGAUGUGCCCAGAUGGGAUUAGCUAGUAGGUGGGGUAACGGCUCACCUAGGCGACGAUCCCUAGCUGGUCUGAGAGGAUGACCAGCCACACUGGAACUGAGACACGGUCCAGACUCCUACGGGAGGCAGCAGUGGGGAAUAUUGCACAAUGGGCGCAAGCCUGAUGCAGCCAUGCCGCGUGUAUGAAGAAGGCCUUCGGGUUGUAAAGUACUUUCAGCGGGGAGGAAGGGAGUAAAGUUAAUACCUUUGCUCAUUGACUUACCCGCAGAAGAGCCCCGCA
rnacentral:rRNA from 1 species